rnacentral:rRNA from 1 species
CAGUCGCCACGGUAAUACGUAGGGCGCAAGCGUUAUCCGGAAUUAUUGGGCGUAAAGAGCUCGUAGGCGGUUUGUCGCGUCUGCCGUGAAAGUCCGGGGCUCAACCCCGGAUCUGCGGUGGGUACGGGCAGACUAGAGUGAUGUAGGGGAGACUGGAAUUCCUGGUGUAGCGGUGAAAUGCGCAGAUAUCAGGAGGAACACCGAUGGCGAAGGCAGGUCUCUGGGCAUUAACUGACGCUGAGGAGCGAAAGCAUGGGGAGCGAACAGGAUUAGAUACCCCAGUAGUCCCUGUCUCUUAUAC